GUAGGGAAUAUUGGGCAAUGGUCGGAAGACUGACCCAGCCAUGCCGCGUGCAGGAAGACGGCCCUCUGGGUUGUAAACUGCUUUUAUCUGGGAAGAAAAGGCCAUGCGUGGCAAAUUGCCGGUACCAGAUGAAUAAGCACCGGCUAACUCCGUGCCAGCAGCCGCGGUAAUACGGAGGGUGCGAGCGUUGUCCGGAUUUAUUGGGUUUAAAGGGUGCGUAGGCGGCUGAUUAAGUCAGCGGUGAAAGACUUCGGCUUAACCGGAGCAGUGCCGUUGAUACUGGUUGGCUUGAGUGUCGGAGGGGUACAUGGAAUUGAUGGUGUAGCGGUGAAAUGCAUAGAUACCAUCAGGAACACCGAUAGCGAAGGCAUUGUACUGGCCGACAACUGACGCUGAUGCACGAAAGUGUGGGGAUCGAACAGGAUUAGAAACCCUUGUAGUCC
rnacentral:rRNA from 1 species